GGGUUGUGAGGUUAAGCGACUAAGCGUACACGGUGGAUGCCCUGGCAGUCAGAGGCGAUGAAGGACGUGCUAAUCUGCGAAAAGCGUCGGUAAGGUGAUAUGAACCGUUAUAACCGGCGAUGUCCGAAUGGGGAAACCCAGUGCAAUUCGUUGCACUAUCGUUAACUGAAUACAUAGGUUAACGAGGCGAACCGGGGGAACUGAAACAUCUAAGUACCCCGAGGAAAAGAAAUCAACCGAGAUUCCCCCAGUAGCGGCGAGCGAACGGGGAGCAGCCCAGAGUCUGAAUCAGCUUGUGUGUUAGUGGAACGGUCUGGAAAGUCCGACGGUACAGGGUGAUAGUCCCGUACACCAAAAUGCACAGGCUGUGAACUCGAAGAGUAGGGCGGGACACGUGGUAUCCUGUCUGAAUAUGGGGGGACCAUCCUCCAAGGCUAAAUACUCCUGACUGACCGAUAGUGAACCAGUACCGUGAGGGAAAGGCGAAAAGAACCCCGGCGAGGGGAGUGAAAAAGAACCUGAAACCGUGUACGUACAAGCAGUGGGAGCACCUUCGGGUGUGACUGCGUACCUUUUGUAUAAUGGGUCAGCGACUUAUAUUCUGUAGCAAGGUUAACCGUAUAGGGGAGCCGCAGGGAAACCGAGUCUUAACUGGGCGUUAAGUUGCAGGGUAUAGACCCGAAACCCGGUGAUCUAGCCAUGGGCAGGUUGAAGGUUGGGUAACACUAACUGGAGGACCGAACCGACUAAUGUUGAAAAAUUAGCGGAUGACUUGUGGCUGGGGGUGAAAGGCCAAUCAAACCGGGAGAUAGCUGGUUCUCCCCGAAAGCUAUUUAGGUAGCGCCUCGUGAACUCAUCUUCGGGGGUAGAGCACUGUUUCGGCUAGGGGGUCAUCCCGACUUACCAACCCGAUGCAAACUACGAAUACCGAAGAAUGUUAUCACGGGAGACACACGGCGGGUGCUAACGUCCGUCGUGAAGAGGGAAACAACCCAGACCGCCAGCUAAGGUCCCAAAGUCAUGGUUAAGUGGGAAACGAUGUGGGAAGGCACAGACAGCCAGGAUGUUGGCUUAGAAGCAGCCAUCAUUUAAAGAAAGCGUAAUAGCUCACUGGUCGAGUCGGCCUGCGCGGAAGAUGUAACGGGGCUAAACCAUGCACCGAAGCUGCGGCAGCGACACUAUGUGUUGUUGGGUAGGGGAGCGUUCUGUAAGCCUGCGAAGGUGUGCUGUGAGGCAUGCUGGAGGUAUCAGAAGUGCGAAUGCUGACAUAAGUAACGAUAAAGCGGGUGAAAAGCCCGCUCGCCGGAAGACCAAGGGUUCCUGUCCAACGUUAAUCGGGGCAGGGUGAGUCGACCCCUAAGGCGAGGCCGAAAGGCGUAGUCGAUGGGAAACAGGUUAAUAUUCCUGUACUUGGUGUUACUGCGAAGGGGGGACGGAGAAGGCUAUGUUAGCCGGGCGACGGUUGUCCCGGUUUAAGCAUGUAGGCUGAUUGUCCAGGCAAAUCCGGAUAAUCAAGGCUGAGGUGUGAUGACGAGGCACUACGGUGCUGAAGUAACAAAUGCCCUGCUUCCAGGAAAAGCCUCUAAGCAUCAGGUAACAUCAAAUCGUACCCCAAACCGACACAGGUGGUCAGGUAGAGAAUACCAAGGCGCUUGAGAGAACUCGGGUGAAGGAACUAGGCAAAAUGGUGCCGUAACUUCGGGAGAAGGCACGCUGGUGUGUAGGUGAAGCCCCUGCGGAUGGAGCUGAGACCAGUCGAAGAUACCAGCUGGCUGCAACUGUUUAUUAAAAACACAGCACUGUGCAAACACGAAAGUGGACGUAUACGGUGUGACGCCUGCCCGGUGCCGGAAGGUUAAUUGAUGGGGUUAUCCGUAAGGAGAAGCUCUUGAUCGAAGCCCCGGUAAACGGCGGCCGUAACUAUAACGGUCCUAAGGUAGCGAAAUUCCUUGUCGGGUAAGUUCCGACCUGCACGAAUGGCGUAAUGAUGGCCAGGCUGUCUCCACCCGAGACUCAGUGAAAUUGAACUCGCUGUGAAGAUGCAGUGUACCCGCGGCAAGACGGAAAGACCCCGUGAACCUUUACUAUAGCUUGACACUGAACAUUGAGCCUUGAUGUGUAGGAUAGGUGGGAGGCUUUGAAGCGUGGACGCCAGUCUGCGUGGAGCCAACCUUGAAAUACCACCCUUUAAUGUUUGAUGUUCUAACGUUGGCCCCUUACCGGGGUUGCGGACAGUGUCUGGUGGGUAGUUUGACUGGGGCGGUCUCCUCCCAAAGCGUAACGGAGGAGCACGAAGGUUAGCUAAUCCUGGUCGGACAUCAGGAGGUUAGUGCAAUGGCAUAAGCUAGCUUGACUGCGAGCGUGACGGCGCGAGCAGGUGCGAAAGCAGGUCAUAGUGAUCCGGUGGUUCUGAAUGGAAGGGCCAUCGCUCAACGGAUAAAAGGUACUCCGGGGAUAACAGGCUGAUACCGCCCAAGAGUUCAUAUCGACGGCGGUGUUUGGCACCUCGAUGUCGGCUCAUCACAUCCUGGGGCUGAAGUAGGUCCCAAGGGUAUGGCUGUUCGCCAUUUAAAGUGGUACGCGAGCUGGGUUUAGAACGUCGUGAGACAGUUCGGUCCCUAUCUGCCGUGGGCGCUGGAGAAUUGAGGGGGGCUGCUCCUAGUACGAGAGGACCGGAGUGGACGCAUCACUGGUGUUCGGGUUGUCAUGCCAAUGGCACUGCCCGGUAGCUAAAUGCGGAAGAGAUAAGUGCUGAAAGCAUCUAAGCACGAAACUUGCCCCGAGAUGAGUUCUCCCUGAGACUUUAAGUCUCCUGAAGGAACGUUAAAGACGAUGACGUUGAUAGGCCGGGUGUGUAAGCGCAGCGAUGCGUUGAGCUAACCGGUACUAAUGAACCGUGAGGCUUAACCUUACAACGCCGAAG
rnacentral:rRNA from 1 species